rnacentral:rRNA from 1 species
AUUGAACGCUGGCGGCAGGCUUAACACAUGCAAGUCGAGCGAGCGGCGGACGGGUGAGUAAUGUCUGGGAAACUGCCUGAUGGAGGGGGAUAACUACUGGAAAAGGUAGCUAAUACCGCAUACCAUAAGCUUUGCCCAGAUGGGCUUGGCUGGUAGGUGGGGGAAUGGCCCACCUAGGCGACGCCCCCUAGCUAGUCUGAGAGGAUGACCGGCCACACUGGAACUAAGCCCCGGUCCAGCCGCCUACGGGAGGCAGCAGUGGGGAUUAUUGCACAAUGGGCGCAGGCCUGCUGCAGCACUGCCGCUGGUAUGAGGAAGGCCUUCGGGUUGUAAAGUACUUUCAGCGGGGAGGCGUUACCCGCAGAAGAAGCACCGGCUAACUCCGUGCCAGCAGCCGCGGUAAUUC